UGUGCGGAAGGGAACGAGGAGAUGAACACUCUCCCUGCUCUUCAAAGUCUGCCACGCAUGGAGCCAGCCGCGUAACCUCGUCUGGACGAUCAUUAGAGGAGUAUUGGCGCUGGGACAGGAGCAGGAGUCACAGCAGCCAUGAUGUGUGCUGGCAACCCUCGAUCACACUCUCAGCUCCGCAGCUGCAGGAGGGUCAUGGCAACCUCUCCAGAAAAUAAAUGAAAUUCACCAAUU